GAUGAACGCUGGCGGCGUGCCUAACACAUGCAAGUCGAGCGAUUCUCUUCGGAGAAGAGCGGCGGACGGGUGAGUAACGCGUGGGUAACCUGCCCUGUACACACGGAUAACAUACCGAAAGGUAUGCUAAUACGAGAUAAUAUACUUUUAUCGCAUGAUAGAAGUAUCAAAGCUCCGGCGGUACAGGAUGGACCCGCGUCUGAUUAGCUAGUUGGUAAGGUAACGGCUUACCAAGGCGACGAUCAGUAGCCGACCUGAGAGGGUGAUCGGCCACAUUGGAACUGAGACACGGUCCAAACGCCUACGGGAGGCAGCAGUGGGGAAUAUUGCACAAUGGGCGAAAGCCUGAUGCAGCAACGCCGCGUGAGCGAUGAAGGCCUUCGGGUCGUAAAGCUCUGUCCUCAAGGAAGAUAAUGACGGUACUUGAGGAGGAAGCCCCGGCUAACUACGUGCCAGCCGCCGCGGUAACAC
rnacentral:rRNA from 1 species